AGGUGACGAUCUUUUGGGCGGAACCAAAAGUCGGGAAACUUUGGUUCCGCCCGGAUGUUUCCGUCCAGACCGAAGAACGGAAACACCGGACAUCCGGCAGAUUUGCGGAGGCUGUAAUCAGCCGAUUGGGCACAGCUGUGCCUAGUUAAAAGAGAUCGCCAGGCAAUUGGAUAACUGAAGCACAGAAAGGAGUAUUUAAAGCACAGUUAAAUGACAGUUCAGGAGUUCGGGCACGAGAGGGGGAUUGACACGGGGAGAGCUCCUCUGCUUAGGGCAGGAGAGGUAAAUACGUACCUUUUGAAGAGCCCGCAGGCUCUGUUGAUCCGGGCUGCGCUAGAAGCGCGCGGAAAGAAGACAGGAGCUGCCUGGGGUGAAAGAAAGGCGAUACGUGAGUGGAGAAAAGGAGCACCCCGAAGAGAGCAUUGUGCUGUCAAGCCUGUGCUUAGUGUGUGCUGGAAAGCGGAGCUGUGCUCAUUUUUGGACGUGGUGGCUGUCUGUGGUUCUCUCUCUCUCUCGUCGUAGUCUUUAUUGUGGACCUGCUGGAGUAAACAGGAAAACCCUAUGGGUAAGAAGGAACUUUGUGCUAACCAAUACUGAAGGAGUAAAGCAGGAAGAAAAUUGACCUUCUGGUACAACGUAAACAAAGGCUACCCGCCGUGAGUAUACCCUUUUUGUGUGGAGUAACUGGCAAAAAUUAACUUGUGUAACCAUUGGAAACCUCCAGGAGAAGGAGGGCGGCCCUACCCCUACAAGAGUGUGGUGGGCGAGCCGUGAGAAGUCCAACUUCAAACAGCCACCGCAACGAGACUUAUUGUGGUCGUAUUUCCCAUCGCCUUAUCAUAGCCCAAGCGCAGUGGAGGACACCGGGCGCUUCCCCUGUUGUGGUGCACUUAUAGUGUGGUGAGUGAGAUUGUGUAAUAAAUCUUUUUCACGUUUGGAGUGGUGCUGUGUAUUGCUGUGGGUUGCUGUGUGUCUUGUAGACGAAGCCCCGCAUCAUCCAUUGUCUUCCACUGGGCAGAGGACGGAAAGGCCAACGACUACAGAAAUUACUGUUACCAUAUGUAGUGUGCUGUUUGGAGGACGAAGGGACGCAGACUAAGAGCCGUCCGUGACCGUGAGUAAACCAAUGGAAACAUUCGUGGUGUGAACUUACCUGUGUCUGUUGUGUCGCAGAGUCAGAGGCGAAAGGGUCCGCCGCCCCGUGGUCUCUACGAAAAGGGCGCCCCCGUCGAGGAAUCGAUCGGCCUAUGGGCAUUGGAGAUAGGGCAGCGCUCGACCGGGUGAGGUGGUGUGUGACCUUCGCCCCUCUGCUGACCUACGGAGGAGAACGUGAUACCUACCCAGAAAGUUGUAAACAGCAAAGCCGGUGAGAAAUACUCGAAGUCUCAGUAACAGUGUCUUUGUGUCCUGGCGGCCACCUGUGGAGAGAGAGCAGAACGAAAGUGAACCAUUGAAGAGCAGACUGUGAACGUGAUACCUACCUGAAAAGCUGUAAACAGCAGAGCCGGUGAGAAAUACUCGAAGUCUCAGUAACAGUGUCUUUGUGUCCUAGCGGCCACCUGUGGAGAGAGAGAGAACGAAAGUGAAUCAUUGAGGAGCAGACUGUGAACGUGAUACCUACCCAGAAAGCUGUAAACAGCAGAGCCGCGGCCACCUGUGGAGAGAGAGCAGAACGGAAGUGAAUCAUUGAGGAGCAGACUGUGAACGUGAUACCUACCCAGAAAGCUGUAAACAGCAGAGCCGCGGCCACCUGUGGAGAGAGAGCAGAACGAAAGUGAAACAUUGAAGAGCAGACUGUGAACGUGAUACCUACCCAGAAAGCUGUAAACAGCAGAGCCGUGGCCUCCUGUGGAGAGAACGGAAAACGAGAAGGAACAUGAGGAAGAUGGACCGUGUGAAGAUACAGUGGUGGUGGAGGAGAGCCUAGAGUGGCCAUUGUUUUAAGUCCCCCGUUCCCCUUCCUUAUUUAAUGCUUUUAAGUAAUUUAAUAAAGGAUAUUUUAAUUUUA